AAAUGGCUCAUUAAAUCAGUUAUGGUUCAUUAGAUGACACUCAAUUUACUUGGAUAACUGUGGUAAUUCUAGAGCUAAUACAUGCAUACNGAGUUCCCACCGGAGACGGCAGGAACGCUUUUAUUAGAUCAAAACCAAUACGUUCGUUUCGGCGAACGAUACCAUUGGUGACUCUGAAUAACCUUAUGAUGAUCGCAUGGUCUUUGUACCGGCGACAAUUCUUUCAAAUGUCUGACUUAUCAACUCGAUGGUAGGCUCUGCGCCUACCAUGGUCGUAACGGGUGACGGGGAAUGGGUUCGAUUCCNNGGAGAGGGAGCCUGAGAGCGUAUAUUAAAGUUGUUGCGGUUAAAAAGCNUCGUAGUUGGGACUGUGUCCCGCACUGUCGGUGCGCCAUUUAUGGUGUUUACUGACAUGCUGUGGGACGUCCUGCCGGUGGGAUUGUUACCAUCGUUUGUACGUUUGUUUUUUUAAAACUUUCGUAUGACGGUUAAGUAACAUUCUCUUGUCACCCAUCGCGGUGCUCUUUACUGAGUGUCGCGGCGGGCCGGCACGUUUACUUUGAACAAAUUAGAGUGCUAAAAGCAGGCAUCACGCCUGAAUAUUGUGUGCAUGGAAUAAUAGAAUAGGACCUCGGUUCUAUUUUGUUGGUUUUCUGGACCAGAGGUAAUGAUUAAGAGGAACGGACGGGGGCAUUCGUAUUGAGACGUUAGAGGGAAA
rnacentral:rRNA from 1 species